GCAAACUUGGUCAUUUAGAGGAAGUAAAAGUCGUAACAAGGUUUCCGUAGGUGAACCUGCGGAAGGAUCAUUACCGAGUGCGGGCCCUCUGGGUCCAACCUCCCACCCGUGUUUAUCGUACCUUGUUGCUUCGGCGGGCCCGCCAUCAUGGCCGCCGGGGGGCUUCUGCCCCCGGGUCCGCGCCCGCCGAAGACACCUUUGAACGCUGUCUGAAGAUUGCAGUCUGAGCAGAUUAUUUAAAUCAAUUAAAACUUUCAACAACGGAUCUCUUGGUUCCGGCAUCGAUGAAGAACGCAGC
rnacentral:misc_RNA from 1 species